UACGAAGGGGGCUAGCGUUGCUCGGAAUCACUGGGCGUAAAGCGCACGUAGGCGGAUCUUUAAGUCAGGGGUGAAAUCCUGGAGCUCAACUCCAGAACUGCCUUUGAUACUGGGGAUCUCGAGUCCGGGAGAGGUGAGUGGAACUCCGAGUGUAGAGGUGAAUUCGUAGAUAUUCGGAAGAACACCAGUGGCGAAGGCGGCUCACUGGCCCGGUACUGACGCUGAGGUGCGAAAGCGUGGGGAGCAACAGG
rnacentral:rRNA from 1 species